UUCCUCGAGUCGUUGAUUUCACACUGCCGAGAAAAGCCUCUAGCUAGAAUAACGGUGCCCGUACCGCAAACCGACACAGGUAGUCAAGAUGAGAAUUCUAAGGUGAGCGAGCGAACUCUCGUUAAGGAACUCGGCAAAAUGACCCCGUAACUUCGGGAGAAGGGGUGCUCUUUGAGGUUCACGCUUCGAAGAGCCGCAGUGAAUAGGCCCAAGCGACUGUUUAUCAAAAACACAGGUCUCUGCUAAACCGUAAGGUGACGUAUAGGGGCUGACGCCUGCCCGGUGCUGGAAGGUUAAGAGGAGUGGUUAGCGCAAGCGAAGCUACGAAUCGAAGCCCCAGUAAACGGCGGCCGUAACUAUAACGGUCCUAAGGUAGCGAAAUUCCUUGUCGGGUAAGUUCCGACCCGCACGAAAGGCGUAACGAUUUGGGCACUGUCUCAACGAGAGACUCGGUGAAAUCAUAGUACCGGUGAAGAUGCCGGUUACCCGCGACAGGACGGAAAGACCCCGUGGAGCUUUACUGUAGCCUGAUAUUGAAAUUCGGUACAGUUUGUACAGGAUAGGUAGGAGCCUUAGAAGCGUGAGCGCUAGCUUACGUGGAGGCAUUGGUGGGAUACUACCCUAAUUGUAUUGGAUUUCUAACCCGCAGCACUUAUCGUGCUGGGAGACAGUGUCAGGCGGGCAGUUUGACUGGGGCGGUCGCCUCCUAAAGAGUAACGGAGGCGCUCAAAGGUUCCCUCAGAAUGGUUGGAAAUCAUUCAUAGAGUGUAAAGGCAUAAGGGAGCUUGACUGCGAGACCUACAAGUCGAGCAGGGUCGAAAGACGGACUUAGUGAUCCGGUGGUUCCGCAUGGAAGGGCCAUCGCUCAACGGAUAAAAGCUACCCCGGGGAUAACAGGCUUAUCUCCCCCAAGAGUUCACAUCGACGGGGAGGUUUGGCACCUCGAUGUCGGCUCAUCGCAUCCUGGGGCUGUAGUCGGUCCCAAGGGUUGGGCUGUUCGCCCAUUAAAGCGGUACGCGAGCUGGGUUCAGAACGUCGUGAGACAGUUCGGUCCCUAUCCGUCGUGGGCGUAGGAAAUUUGAGAGGAGCUGUCCUUAGUACGAGAGGACCGGGAUGGACAUACCUCUGGUGUACCAGUUGUCGUGCCAACGGCAUAGCUGGGUAGCUAUGUAUGGACGGGAUAAGUGCUGAAAGCAUCUAAGCAUGAAGCCCCCCUCGAGAUGAGAUUUCCCAACUUC
rnacentral:rRNA from 1 species